GUGAGGAAUAUUGCGCAAUGGAGGCAACUCUGACGCAGCCAUGCCGCGUGCAGGAAGAAGGCGCUACGCGUUGUAAACUGCUUUUAACCGGGAAGAAACCCCAGGACGUGUCCUGGGUUGACGGUACCGGAGGAAUAAGCACCGGCUAACUUCGUGCCAGCAGCCGCGGUAAUACGAAGGGUGCAAGCGUUAUCCGGAUUCAUUGGGUUUAAAGGGUGCGUAGGCGGAGCGUUAAGUCAGUGGUGAAAUCCUGCAGCUUAACUGUAGACUUGCCAUUGAUACUGGCGCUCUUGAGUGCGCUUGAAGUGGGCGGAAUGUGCCGUGUAGCGGUGAAAUGCUUAGAUAUGGCACAGAACACCAAUUGCGAAGGCAGCUUACUGGAGCGCAACUGACGCUGAGGCACGAAAGCGUGGGGAUCGAACAGGAUUAGAAACCCUAGUAGUCC
rnacentral:rRNA from 1 species